rnacentral:rRNA from 1 species
UUGACGGGGACCCGCACAAGCGGUGGAGCAUGUGGUUUAAUUCGAAGCAACGCGAAGAACCUUACCAACUCUUGACAUCCCCCUGACCGGUACAGAGAUGUGCCUUCCCCUUCGGGGGCAGGGGUGACAGGUGGUGCAUGGUUGUCGUCAGCUCGUGUCGUGAGAUGUUGGGUUAAGUCCCGCAACGAGCGCAACCCUUGUCCUUAGUUGCCAGCAUUUGGUUGGGCACUCUAAGGAGACUGCCGGUGACAAACCGGAGGAAGGUGGGGAUGACGUCAAAUCAUCAUGCCCCUUAUGAGUUGGGCUACACACGUGCUACAAUGGACGGUACAAAGGGCAGCGAAGCCGCGAGGUGGAGCCAAUCCCAGAAAGCCGUUCUCAGUUCGGAUUGCAGGCUGCAACUCGCCUGCAUGAAGUCGGAAUCGCUAGUGAUCGCAGGUCAGCAUACUGCGGUGAAUACGUUCCCGGGUCUUGUACACACCGCCCGUCACACCACGAGAGUUUGCAACACCCGAAGUCGGUGAGUAACCNUAAGGAGCCAGCCGCCGAAGUGGCAGUNUUGG